rnacentral:rRNA from 1 species
AUUGAACGCUGGCGGCAUGCCUUACACAUGCAAGUCGAACGGCAGCGCGGGGGCAAUCCUUGCGGCGAGUGGCGCACGGGUGUGUAAUACAUCGGAACGUGCCCACUCGUGGGGGAUAACGCCGCGAAAGCUGUUCUAAUACCACACACGAUCUGCGGGUGAAAGCAGGGGAUCACGACACCUUGCGCUUAUGGCGCGCCCGAUGGCAGAUUAGGUAGUUGGUGGGGUAAAGGCUCACCAAGCCCACGAUCUGUAGCUGGUCUGAGAGGACGACCAGCCACACUGGGACUGAGACACGGCCCAGACUCCUACGGGAGGCAGCAGUGGGGAAUUUUGGACAAUGGGCGAAAGCCUGAUCCAGCAAUGCCGCGUGCAGGAUGAAGGCCUUCGGGUUGUAAACUGCUUUUGUACGGAACGAAACGGUUUUGGCUAAUAAAGAAGGCUAAUGACGGUACCGUAAGAAUAAGCACCGGCUAACUACGUG